CACGUAGGGGGCGAGCGUUGUCCGGAUUUAUUGGGCGUAAAGAGCUCGUAGGCGGCUCAGUAAGUCAGGUGUGAAAACUCCAGGCUCAACCUGGAGACGCCACCUGAUACUGCUGUGGCUAGAGUCCGGUAGGGGAGCAUGGAAUUCCUGGUGUAGCGGUGAAAUGCGCAGAUAUCAGGAGGAACACCAGUGGCGAAAGCGGUGCUCUGGGCCGGAACUGACGCUGAGGAGCGAAAGCGUGGGGAGCAAACAGG
rnacentral:rRNA from 1 species